AAAGGUGUUGGAAAAGCUGCUGCUUCCUAUUAUAACGAAAUUGUUUUUUUUUUUUUUUCGUCCUUAAAUAAAUUUGUUUGUUCCGAGUUCGAUUUAUUUGAACCUGAUAUAGUUGACAAAAGUAAAAGUAUGGGUUGACUUCAAAUAUUAACCCUUCCAAUCCACUUCCUUGAAGUGAUGUGAUUAGUAUAAAAGUCUUAUUAUAUAUUGAUGAUUAAACAACUACAUUUUAGAGAUCAAUAUCAUCAGAUUUAUUUAGGAUUUAUCUAUUGAUUUAAGCAAGUUAUCUUGUUGUUAUAAUAGCCCUUGAUAAAUCACGAUCGAGAGUGCUAGACGAUAAUCUCAAACGAAUGUUGUGAAUUCCUUGACUCCAGGGUUCUUUCAUGGCUUCAAUGCUACUAUGUUUGCUUUCGGGGCUACUGGCAGUGGAAAAGCUUAUAACAUAUGCAGGUAAUGAAGGCAUUGGUCUCCAAGAGGGUACUAGAUAGUAAACCAAUACUUAUUUCCUUUGUCAGAUGUAACUUACAUAACACCAAAUCUGAAGUACCUUAAUGGUUGCUUGAUCAUUUUGUGACUUUUUCUUUUUUACCCAAUAUUGAGAUUUUAUUCAACGUUCA